CGACACAGUACCUAAAUUUUAAAUGUAUCUACUAGUGGGUCUGUCCCUAUGUUUUUAACAUUGUUUUAUUUUGUGACGUCUAUUAUUGUUAUUGUUCACUGCCAACUUUACAUGCAGGUCACGUAAUGAUCUUGAAAAAGGCAAGGAUAUUCCUGUCGAAACGUCGAUUAAAUGAUAUGACAUAACAUCAUAGCCAUCUCUUUUUCUUUGUGAACCUAAGCCCAAGAAACCCAAA
rnacentral:lncRNA from 1 species